rnacentral:rRNA from 1 species
UACGUAGGGUGCGAGCGUUGUCCGGAAUUAUUGGGCGUACAGGGCGCGUAGGCGGCCUGCUAAGUCGAACGUGAAAUCCCUGGGCUCAACCCAGGAACUGCAUUUGAAACUCCCUUUCUUGAGUGUCGGAGAGGAAAGCGGAAUUCCUGGUGUAGAGGUGAAAUUCGUAGAUAUCAGGAGGAACACCGGUGGCGAAGGCGGCACUCUGGGCCGAUACUGACGCUGAGGAGCGAAAGCGUGGGGAGCGAACAGG